AGAACACUGCGCCUCUUGUCAUCUUAAGCCCCACCAUGUGAUCAGCCUGAGAGGAGCCGGCCGAGCCGCUCCCCCAACAUUACAGCAGCCAGCCUCUCAGCCUCUAUGUGCGGCAGCUGCCUCACACUGCCUGAGCCUUAGCGCGCCGCCAAAACGCAAUGGGGGGACGCAGAGUACAGUGAGAGUGAUGUUAAACUGGGGGAGUUCUAAAGGUUUUGACCAGCAUUAUAACACGUUUGCAAUUGAGGAAUAUCCCAGACAAACUGAAUCUAUCUGACUGGUAGAAGGACCUAAACAGAAAGCAUUGAAAAUAUAUACUGUUCCGCCAAGGAAGCGCCGCCCAAACAAAACGGAGCAAGCUGCAAGAAUUAUGACCACUGUCCUGUUUAAGAAAUUAGAGCAGAUGGAUGCUGCCAUGGGUGAUCGAGAAGAUGCACGUCUCAAGCGAUUUUUGCAGGCAGAGCAAGACAUGAACAACACAUUUAUGACCCAGCUGAUCUCUAUGCAGGAAACCUAUAAUAGGGAUGCAAGAGAAUGUCAGAGGGAUAUGCAGGAAUUUCAAAUGUCAAUAUUUGACAGAAUGUUCCAAUGUAUUGAAGGGCUGCACACAGUGCCACCUCAGCACCCGCCUCCAAACCACCCUCAAUCGUAUCCCCAGUAUAACCCUGGCCCCCCCUACUACGAACAUACCCCUCCUCAACAAAUGCAACCCCAAUAUACCCAUCCUUGACAUAACCAACCUCAACAAACCCAACCUCCACAAGCCCAAACUCACUAUACCCAUCCUUGACGUACCCAACCUCAACACACCAAAUCACCUUCUGAAACGGAGACAACUACAGAGGUUCCUAUUUACCGUAAUUUAUCUUAAAUGGUUAUUGUUUUUAAAAAAGUUGGUUUUAAAUUAAUGGGAGUGUAUUUCAAACACUACUGGUUUGUCUUUUAUUACGGUAAAGAUUUCAAUGCUUUAUUUACUAAAGUUUUAUACAAAUUAAAAU